ensembl:misc_RNA Metazoa_SRP Metazoan signal recognition particle RNA
GCCUGCAGUCCCGGCUGCUCUGGAGGCUGAGACAGCAGGAUUGCUGGAGCCCAGGAGUUCUGGGCUGCAGUGCACUAUACCGGUCAGGUGUCUGCUGUAAUAAGCUUGGCAUCAAUAUGUUGACGUCUCAGAAGCAGGUGACCACCCGAUUCCCUAAGGAGGGGUGAACCAGCCCACGCUAGAAGUGGAACAGAUCAGAAUUCCUGUGCUGAUCAAUAGUGGAACUGCACCUCUGACUAGCUACUGCAGUCUACCCUGGGCCACAUAAGGCUGGCCCUG